rnacentral:rRNA from 1 species
AUUGAACGCUGGCGGCAGGCCUAACACAUGCAAGUCGAGCGGAUGAAGGGAGCUUGCUCCUGGAUUCAGCGGCGGACGGGUGAGUAAUGCCUAGGAAUCUGCCUGGUGUGGGGGAUAACGUCCGGAAACGGGCGCUAUACCGCAUACGUCCUGAGGGAGAAAGUGGGGGAUCUUCGGACCUCACGCUAUCAGAUGAGCCUAGGUCGGAUUAGCUAGUUGGUGGGGUAAAGGCCUACCAAGGCGACGAUCCGUAACUGGUCUGAGAGGAUGAUCAGUCACACUGGAACUGAGACACGGUCCAGACUCCUACGGGAGGCAGCAGUGGGGAAUAUUGGACAAUGGGCGAAAGCCUGAUCCAGCCAUGCCGCGUGUGUGAAGAAGGUCUUCGGAUUGUAAAGCACUUUAAGUUGGGAGGAAGGGCAGUAAGUUAAUACCUUGCUGUUUUGACGUUACCAACAGAAUAAGCACCGGCUAACUUCGUG